CAGAAAUAACAGCAUCCUGGCUUUGCAAGGUGGAUAGAACCAGCCGGGCGAUCUGCGCCGAGGGCCGCCGGGGAACUCACGGAAGGAUGAAAUGAGGCGUGUGGGUGUCAACAGAAAGGUCCCCUCGAGGUGAAACCAGCAAGGGGGUGGGGAGUCAGGCCAGUCCUGAGGGGCCUGAAAAGCCGAUUAUCCAGCCAGGACGCUCACGGAGACGGAUGCCAUCGGGGCGACGAGGGACCCCAGAGGAGAAAGGCUGUCCCAGACAGUGUGGAUGGAGACGGUCAGGGGCCGGGGUGUCAGGAGGCCGGAGGAUCCCGAGAAUCACACUGAGGCCCCACCCAGGCCCUGGCUCAGUGGCUGAGGGAUUUUCCAGGCUGGGGGACAUCUGAGCGCCCGAGGCCUCCCAAGUCUCCCAGGCAGACACCGAGCUCCCAAAUGUGGCCCGAGUCCCCCUCCUGCCUGGGAGGAAGCUGGAAAACUUAGGCUGAGGCCUCCGACCCCCGAGGACCAUGGAGUUUGCUGUGAAUCAUGGGAAUGAGAUGUGGCCAGGGGGCGCUUUGCAGACCCUUUGACUCUGCGAGCGUCUGAGUUGCUACUAGAAAAUUUUCAACUCCAACCAUGGCCUGCUUUAUCCUUCUACCAGACAGCAACGUACUAGCAGUUCUGCAGGAAACGUGUCCGUCCUUCCUUCCGCAGAGAUGAGACAGAGGGGAAGAGGGUCCCCGCUAUUUUUUGCUCCCCGAGGGUGAAGACGCGAGCCUGACAUCCUGAAGAAGGGCAGGAGGUCAGCAACCUCAGUGGUGCCAAACGUGAGGCAGGAAUCUGAUUUAGGAAAAGAAGUUCCCGAUUUUCCUGAUUUCGUUGAAUUACUUUAAAUGUCUAUUGAUUGAUGGAUUUGGGGAGAGAGUGAGCACACGCGAGCGGGGUAGGGCCGGAGAGAGAGGGAGAGAGAGGGAAAAUCCCAAGCAGGCUCCAGACUCCGCACAGAUCCCCUCGUGGGGCUUGAGCUCUCCACCGCGCGCACAGCCGAAAUCAAGAGUCCGUGGCUCAAUCCACUGAGCCAGCCGGGUGCCCCUGAUUUAUUUAGACUAUAGAUCCAUCUGGGGGUGGUGAAGGGAGAAGACGGUGGGGGACUUUCGUGCUUCCCAGCCGGGUUAGGACACCCGAUUGGCAUCUCAAAUAAACAAAGAAUAUUUUA